rnacentral:lncRNA from 1 species
AAAUAUCCGAAAUUACCUACUAUACCCUUAAAUCAGGGGUCCUCAACCCCAUUCCUUGAGUUCUUUCUUCCUACAGGUUUCAGUUGCAAACCUGUCUGAUCUUUAAGUGCUGCUUCAGGUCCUGUUAAAUUAAUACACUUGUUCAGUUGUGAGCUAAACUCUGCAGGAAGGUGUUUCUCCAGGAACAGGGUUGAAGACAUCUGCCUUAAAUACUGCAUUAUUUAAGGAAACAAAACAGCUAUAUUCGUGUCCGAAACCAUAUAGUAGACGUUCUGAAGUGACCCCAAUCAAUCCUACAAUGCACCGCAAUAACGAGUCGAGUGAACAGAUGUACGCUGAGGGUUCCUUACUGAGGAGAAUGAUUUCCCGCGUGUGCGACAAAAUGGCGUCAACCGCAGUAUCUUAUCAGUGUCGACCCGAGGGAUUCGGAAGCCGUUUUCAGAGGAUCCGUUUGACUGAAUGAAGCUUCCAGAAGCUGAGCUGGUGCC